rnacentral:rRNA from 1 species
UACGGGGUGCAGCAGGCGCGAAAACUUUACAAUGCUGGCAACAGCGAUAAGGGAACCUCGAGUGCCAGGUUACAAAUCUGGCUGUCGAGAUGCCUAAAAAGCAUUUCAUAGCAAGGGCCGGGCAAGACCGGUGCCAGCCGCCGCGGUAACACCGGCGGCUCGAGUGGUAACCGUUAUUAUUGGGUCUAAAGGGUCUGUAGCCGGCCGGAUAAGUCUCUUGAGAAAUCUGGCAGCUUAACUGUCAGGCUUUCAGGAGAUACUGUCUGGCUCGAGGCCGGGAGAGGUGAGAGGUACUUCAGGGGUAGGGGUGAAAUCUUGUAAUCCUUGAAGGACCACCAGUGGUGAAGGCGUCUCACCAGAACGGACCUGACGGCAAGGGACGAAAGCUAGGGGCACGAACCGGAUUAGAUACCCGGGUAGUCCUAGCCGUAAACGAUACUCGCUAGGUGUCGGCCACGGUGCGACCGUUGUCGGUGCCGUAGGGAAGCCGUGAAGCGAGCCACCUGGGAAGUACGGCCGCAAGGCUGAAACUUAAAGGAAUUGGCGGGGGAGCACCACAACGGGUGGAGCUUGCGGUUUAAUUGGAUUCAACGCCGGAAAUCUUA